rnacentral:rRNA from 1 species
CCUUGGCACUAGGAGCCGAUGAAGGACGGGACUAACACCGAUAUGCUUUGGGGAGCUGUACGUAAGCUAUGAUCCAGAGAUUUCCGAAUGGGGGAACCCAGCAUCUUUAAUAGGAUGUUACGAUUGUGUGAAUACAUAGCACAUUCGAGGUAGACGCAGAGAACUGAAACAUCUAAGUACCUGCAGGAAGAGAAAGAAAAU